rnacentral:rRNA from 1 species
AUGUUGCAUAUACAAAAACAAGACUGUAGCCAGUUACCAACUGCAGUGUCAAUGUCCCUGACGAACGCUUAUUGUGCAUUAACUGAAGGCUACAGAAUCUUUCUGCAGCAUAUAGCAGUUGCUAUCAGAACCGUGCCUUGCAAUCCACCCUUCCCGAUUAACAUAUCUGGGAUUGGAGAAAAAGAAUUAGCUUUCACUUUUGCUGAAAAAAAGGGAGCAUGUACACGAAAGUACCUGCUGAUGAUAAGUUUGAUGUGGCAAGUUUCAGUUUCUCAUAGUAACUCAACAGCCUGCACACUGACUGAAGAGUAA